AGUCAACAUGCCCAGGGGACGUGGAUAACCUCGGGAAACUGAGGAUAAACCGCGAUAGGUCAUCACUUCUGGAAUGGGUAAUGACUUAAAUCUAUAUGGCCCCUGGAUUGGACUGCGGCCGAUCAGGCUGUUGGUGAGGUAAUGGCCCACCAAACCUGUAACCGGUACGGGCUCUGAGAGGAGGAGCCCGGAGAUGGGCACUGAGACAAGGGCCCAGGCCCUAUGGGGCGCAGCAGGCGCGAAACCUCUGCAAUAGGCGAAAGCUUGACAGGGUUACUCUGAGUGAUUUCCGUUAAGGAGAUCUUUUGGCACCUCUAAAAAUGGUGCAGAAUAAGGGGUGGGCAAGUCUGGUGUCAGCCGCCGCGGUAAUACCAGCACCCCGAGUGGUCGGGACGUUUAUUGGGCCUAAAGCAUCCGUAGCCGGUUCUACAAGUCUUCCGUUAAAUCCACCUGCUUAACAGAUGGGCUGCGGAAGAUACUAUAGAGCUAGGAGGCGGGAGAGGCAAGCGGUACUCGAUGGGUAGGGGUAAAAUCCGUUGAUCCAUUGAAGACCACCAGUGGCGAAGGCGGCUUGCCAGAACGCGCUCGACGGUGAGGGAUGAAAGCUGGGGGAGCAAACCGGAUUAGAUACCCGGGUAGUCCCAGCUGUAAACGAUGCAGACUCGGUGAUGAGUUGGCUUAUUGCUAACUCAGUGCCGCAGGGAAGCCGUUAAGUUUGCCGCCUGGGGAGUACGGUCGCAAGACUGAAACUUAA
rnacentral:rRNA from 1 species